rnacentral:rRNA from 1 species
UACGAGGGGGGCAAGCGUUGUUCGGAUUUAUUGGGCGUAAAGAGCGUGUAGGCGGCUAGGUAGGUCCGUUGUGAAAACUCGAGGCUCAACCUCGAGACGCCGAUGGAAACCAUCUGGCUAGAGUCCGGAAGAGGAGAGUGGAAUUCCUGGUGUAGCGGUGAAAUGCGCAGAUAUCAGGAAGAACACCCGUGGCUAAGGCGGCUCUCUAGUACGGUACUGACGCUGAGACGCGAAAGCGUGGGGAGCGAACAGG